UCCGGCUUAUCACCGGCAGUCCCCUUAGAGUGCCCAACUGAAUGUGGCAACUAAUGGCAAGGGUUGCGCUCGUUGCGGGACUUAACCCAACAUCUCACGACACGAGCUGACGACAGCCAUGCAGCACCUUACUGGCAGUGUAUUGCUACAAAGAGAGCUUUCACCCUCGGUCCACCAGCAUUCUAGCCCAGGUAAGGUUCCUCGCGUAUCAUCGAAUUAAACCACAUGCACCACCGCUUGUGCGGACCCCCGCCAAUUCCUUUGAGUUUCAACCUUGCGGUCGUACUUCCCAGGUGGGAUACUUAAUGCUUUCGCUCAGACACCAACAGUGUAUCGCUGAUGUCGAGUAAUCAUCGUUUAGGGCGUGGACUAC
rnacentral:misc_RNA from 1 species